CAGUCGCCGCGGGAAUACGUAGGUGGCAAGCGUUGUCCGGAAUUAUUGGGCGUAAAGCGCGUGCAGGCGGAUAGGUCAGUCUGUCUUAAAAGUUCGGGGCUUAACCCCGUGAUGGGAUGGAAACUGCCAAUCUAGAGUAUCGGAGAGGAAAGUGGAAUUCCUAGUGUAGCGGUGAAAUGCGUAGAUAUUAGGAAGAACACCAGUGGCGAAGGCGACUUUCUGGACGAAAACUGACGCUGAGGCGCGAAAGCCAGGGGAGCGAACGGGAUUAGAUACCCGGGUAGUCCCUGUCUCUUAUACA
rnacentral:rRNA from 1 species